AGUAGCCCAUCAGGAUGGACAGCGCCACUAAAAUAUCGAUUAAACUGCUGAUUCUGUAGUGAGCAAUAGGGAGAGGAAAGCACACAAUCAGGAAAUACUUCACUUCACUAGAAGAAUCUUUGCAAAUACAUUUUACUCCACUAUGCUGAAUCCUGGGGAUCAGUUGUUUUCGUACAUAUCUUUAGCUGAAAGAUCCAGUAAUUAUAUCAAGGAAAAUACCAGAGCAGGUGUGAAAAAAUGGGCCAGCCAGUGGCAUAAGUGUUUAAGGCAGCUGUAUUCCACAUGGCCAACUGU